GACACUAUAUAUUCCAUGAAGUUCAUCAUUGUCAGGAUUAGUUGCAGUGGUCAGGAGUUUGUAGUACAGGAAAGGAGCGAAGGAGGAAAAGAAAAACGAGGGGAAAUGGCAGGAAUUUAUUUGGCGAAGAAAGGAUCCAUUAACGUCUACAAAGCUUCCCUCAAGCAUCAACCUUCUUUUGUUGAUUCAGCCAUCAGGGUUUCAAGGGCCUGUUUCUCCACCGGUUCUGAGCGUGCUGAGGGGAGCAAUGCAGCGGCAGGAACAAGAGGAGAAGGAACUGGGCCUGAUGGGACACCAGGAGUAUCAUCAGAAACAAGUAAAGAUCCUGUAGGCCAAGGCAUAUACGAGGCGAAGCACCAAGCUCUAGACAUGGACGAAAACACAACAACAGGAGCAACACAGUUUGUAGCUGACACAGCAAAAGAAGGGGUGAGAAAAGCAACAGAAAGAGCUGAUGCUGUAGGAGACACUGCUAAGCGGGCAGUGGACAGUGCUUCGGAAGCAUCCAAGGAAGCUAACCACAAGGUUAGAGAUACAGUGGCUGGUGGUAAGGAUAACAAUGAGAAUCACAAUAACCAUAAUGAGGAAGAUCCAGGCGUUGUUGAGAUGCAAAAGAUGGAUGGGCCUAUUGAUACAGUAGAGUAUAGAAAUUUGGAGAUUAAUAUUGAGGAAAUGAGUAGAUCAGCUUGAUGAUAUAUGACAUGGUGCACUCCUAUACUUGAUGUAGUUCUGAUGAUCAUGUCUCUGUUUGUUUGUGUGUGUCAGAAUAUGUGUGUUGAAGAUUUUGUGACAAGGAAGAUUGGUGUGUUUUUUCUUCUCUUUUCUUGCUAAUGAGACAUGCAUAAAGUCCAAAUUAAAGAACCUGAGGAGGAGGGCAAAUUGAAAGCUAUGGAUGAAGGAUCAAAGAUUGGAACUUUGAAUUGCAGUUAUCAGAGUGAAGCUGCCUGUAUGUAUUGAAAUCCAACGACUAUAUUGGUCUAAUUCGUUGUUUGAGCAGAAUUGGCAGUGUAUUUGUUCAUGGAUCAAUCAAUGCACUUUCAGAGAGUCAUAGAGUGAACUAUGUAAAGGGUGCUUCUUCUUUAGAUGGAUAUCACCUCUGCUAGCUUUUCCUGAGACAUUUGAAAUAUAUUGGUCUAGUUAUAUAAUACGGAUCGAUUAUCGAA